ensembl:snRNA U6 U6 spliceosomal RNA
AUGCUCAUUUUGGCAGCACAUGUAUGAAAAGUGGAACAGUACAGAAAAGAUUAGCACGGCCCUGCACAAGGAUGCUAUGCAAAUUCCUGAAGGGUUCCAUAUUUUG